AACGAACGCUGGCGGCGUGGAUAAGACAUGCAAGUCGAACGCUCAUUUGUUUGCAGCAAUGUAGGCAAGUGGGAGUGGCGCAAGGGUGCGUAACACGUGGGUAAUUUGCCGCGAAGUUGGGGAUAACUCGCUGAAAGGCGAGCUAAUACCGGAUGUGGUUAGCCGGUGGCAUCAUUGGCUGACCAAAGUUGGGGACCCGCAAGGGCCUGACGCUUUGCGAUAAGCCCGCGGCCUAUCAGCUAGUUGGUGAGGUAACGGCUCACCAAGGCCAAGACGGGUAGCUGGUCUGAGAGGACGACCAGCCACACUGGAACUGAGAGACGGUCCAGACACCUACGGGUGGCAGCAGUCGAGAAUUUUUCACAAUGGGCGCAAGCCUGAUGGAGCGACGCCGCGUGGGGGAUGAAGGGCUUCGGCUCGUAAACCCCUGUCAUUUGCGAACAAACCCUCAUAUUGAACAGAUGUGAGGUUGAUUGUAGUGAAAGAGGAAGGGACGGCUAACUCUGUGC
rnacentral:rRNA from 1 species